rnacentral:rRNA from 1 species
GAUGAACGCUGGCGGCGUGCCUAAUACAUGCAAGUCGAGCGAACGGACGAGAAGCUUGCUUCUCUGAUGUUAGCGGCGGACGGGUGAGUAACACGUGGAUAACCUACCUAUAAGACUGGGAUAACUUCGGGAAACCGGAGCUAAUACCGGAUAAUAUUUUGAACCUCAUGGUUCAAAAGUGAAAGACGGUCUUGCUGUCACUUAUAGAUGGAUCCGCGCUGCAUUAGCUAGUUGGUAAGGUAACGGCUUACCAAGGCAACGAUGCAUAGCCGACCUGAGAGCGAGAUCGGACAGACUGGAACUGAGACACGGCACAGACUCCUACGGGAGGCAGCAGUCGGGACUCUUCCGCAAUGGGCGAGAGCCGAACGGAGCAACGCGGCGUGAGUGAUGAAGGACCUCGGAUCGGAAAGCGCUGUUGUUCGGGGAGAACAUAUGUGUAAGUAACUGUGCACAUCAUGACAGUACCUAAUCAGAAAGCCACGGCUAACUACGU